GACGAACGCUGGCGGCGUGCUUAACACAUGCAAGUCGAACGGAAAGGCCCUGCUUUUGUGGGGUGCUCGAGUGGCGAACGGGUGAGUAACACGUGAGUAACCUGCCCUUUACUUUGUGAUAACUUCAGGAAACUGGGGCUAAUACCUGAUAGGAGCUCCUGCUGCAUGGUGGGGGUUGGAAAUUUUCGGCGGUUGGGGAUGGACUCGCGGCUUAUCAGCUUGUUGGUGGGGUAGUGGCUUACCAAGGCUUUGACGGGUAGCCGGCAUGAGAGGGUGACCGGCCACAUUGGGACUGAGAUACGGACCAGACUCCUACGGGAGGCAGCAGGGGGGAAUAUGGCACAAUGGGCGGAAGCCUGAGGCAGAAACGCCGCGUGCGGGAUGACGGCCUUCGGGUUGUAAACCGCUUUAGCCUGUGACGAAGCGUGAGUGACGGUAAUGGGUAAAGAAGCACCGGCUAACUACGUG
rnacentral:rRNA from 1 species